AGAACGAACGCUGGCGGCAUGCCUAACACAUGCAAGUCGAACGCUCUUGGCUUCGGCCAAGGGAGUGGCGCACGGGUGAGUAACGCGUGGGAACCUGCCCUGGAGUGGGGGAUAACCGAGGGAAACCUCGGCUAAUACCGCAUACGACCUGAGGGUGAAAGAUUUAUCGCUCUAGGAGGGGCCCGCGUCGGAUUAGCUAGUUGGUGAGGUAACGGCCCACCAAGGCUAUGAUCCGUAGCUGGUCUGAGAGGAUGAUCAGCCACACUGGGACUGAGACACGGCCCAGACUCCUACGGGAGGCAGCAGUGGGGAAUAUUGGACAAUGGGCGCAAGCCUGAUCCAGCAAUGCCGCGUGAGUGAUGAAGGCCUUAGGGUUGUAAAGCUCUUUCGCACGCGACGAUGAUGACGGUAGCGUGAGAAGAAGCCCGGCUAACUACGUGCCAGCAGCCGC
rnacentral:rRNA from 1 species